AGAGUUUGAUCAUGGCUCAGAGCGAACGCUGGCGGCGUGCUUAACACAUGCAAGUCGAGUGCGCGUCUGUAGCAAUACAGAUGGCGCACGGCGCACGGGUGCGUAACACGUGGGUAAUCUGCCCUUCGAUGGGGAAUAUCUUCGGGAAACCGAAGCGAAUUCCGCAUAACAUUCCUUGAACUUCGGUUUGGGGACUCAAAGCCGUAAGGCGUCGGAGGAGGAACCCGCGCACGAUUAGCUAGUUGGUAGGGUAACGGCCUACCAAGGCUUUGAUCGUUAGCUGGUCUGAGAGGAUGGCCAGCCACACUGGAACUGAGACACGGUCCAGACUCCUACGGGAGGCAGCAGUGGGGAAUCUUGCACAAUGGGCGAAAGCCUGAUGCAGCGACGCCGCGUGGGGGAUGAAGCUUUUCGGAGUGUAAACCCCUUUCGACCCGGACGAAUGCCCCGCAAGGGGACUGACGGUACGGGUAUAAGAAGCCCCGGCUAACUACGUGCCAGCAGCCGCGGUAAGACGUGGGGGGCCAGCGUUGCUCGGAAUUACUGGGUGUAAAGGGUUCGUAGGCGGUGUGGCAAGUCGGGAGUGAAAUCUCUGGGCUUAACUCAGAGUCUGCUUCCGAAACUGCUGUGCUUGAGUGUGGGAGAGGCGCGUGGAAUUGCAGGUGUAGCGGUGAAAUGCGUAGAUAUCUGCAGGAACACCCGUGGCGAAAGCGGCGCGCUGGACCACUACUGACGCUGAGGAACGAAAGCUAGGGGAGCAAACAGGAUUAGAUACCCCCGUAGUCC
rnacentral:rRNA from 1 species